AGCCCUGUAACUCAAUUGGUAGAGUGCCUCUCUUACAAAGAGGAUGUAGCGGGUUCAAAUCCUGUCAGGGCUACCA
rnacentral:tRNA from 10 species